rnacentral:rRNA from 1 species
GGCUCAGAUUGAACGCUGGCGGCAUGCUUUACACAUGCAAGUCGAACGGCAGCACGAAAGAGCUUGCUCUUUUGGUGGCGAGUGGCGAACGGGUGAGUAAUACAUUGGAACGUACCGAGUAAUGGGGGAUAACUGUCCGAAAGGAUGGCUAAUACCGCAUACGCUCUGAGGAGGAAAGCGGGGGACCUUCGGGCCUCGCGUUAUUCGAGCGGCCAAUGUCUGAUUAGCUAGUUGGUGGGGUAAAGGCCUACCAAGGCGACGAUCAGUAGUGGGUCUGAGAGGAUGAUCCGCCACACUGGGACUGAGACACGGCCCAGACUCCUACGGGAGGCAGCAGUGGGGAAUUUUGGACNAUGGGCGAAAGCCUGAUCCAGCCAUGCCGCGUGUCUGAA